UUAUUUUUAAAGGGUAAGCAAAAAUAAGUUUGGAAUCAAAGUUGAUAUGAGUAAAUAUUAACAGACUACAAGAAAAAGAAGAAAACUGGUGGAGGAAAAUGAGCAUACGAUCAGCUAGUUUGAGAUGAGAAACUCACUGCAAUGAAAAAAGACAUUUAUAAAAAUUUCAGAUUUUCCAUCAGACGUGGGCUAGUGCCAAGAAAAUAAACCAUAAGUGAUGACAUCGAGCAAUGACAGAAGGAAUUUUGAAUGAAAGAUAAAAUCAUUUAAGAGGAAAGAGGAAGGAAGAAUGACAAACAUCUACUGUAACUGUACAUAUUACAGUGAAAGCAGGAUGGCUUCUAACAAGCUCAGCCACUAACAGAGGAGAGAAAAAGGAGAUGGUGAAAUUAAUCUGAGGAGCCAGCUGUCUUUGUAGCCCGUGCACUUCGCUGAUGAUGUAUUCUCCUGUCGGAAAAGAGGACGAGAUGAGGAGGCCUGAUGCAGAUGCCAGCAAGGAGACUGUGUGGACGGCCUGAAAAACACAAAUGACUUAUGACCUAUGUCAAAGUUUUCAUAUUUAGUUGUUAGUUUAAACUAGUACUCUACUACAACUAUAGGAUGAUGGCAUGUAAUAAUUAUAUUGAAUAUUAGUUUGUUAAAUUUGUUUUUUUUCUUGGAAUGUCAGUCACACAGGCCAUGAGGCUGGGGAAAACUUCUAGUGUGAAACCGGUCACAAAGAGGUAAACGGUGGGUGUAAGCCACACUAAGCUAAUGCCACCUUAUUUCCAUGGUAGACAAAGGCUAAUCUACAACACUAUUGUGCUAGUUAAUAUCAUGUUAAUAAAGCUGUAGUGUCAUACUGUACCAAGGACAAUUUAAUGCUUUCAUUUUGGUCCUCACUCAUAAUUCGUAUUUUUUAAACAGAUGUGUUCGAUUGGCCUCAUUAGCUGCA